rnacentral:rRNA from 1 species
GUCUACGGCCAUGCCUCCCUGAACAAGCCCGAUCCCAUCUGAUCUCAGAAGCUAAGCAAGGUCAGGCCUGGUUAGUACUUGGAUGGGAGACCACCUAGGAAUAUCAGGUGCUGUAGGCG